GAUGAACGCUAGCUACAGGCUUAACACAUGCAAGUCGAGGGGCAGCAUCAUCAAAGCUUGCUUUGAUGGAUGGCGACCGGCGCACGGGUGAGUAACACGUAUCCAACCUGCCGACAACACUGGGAUAGCCUUUCGAAAGAAAGAUUAAUACCGGAUGGCAUAGUUUUUCCGCAUGGGAUAAUUAUUAAAGAAUUUCGGUUGUCGAUGGGGAUGCGUUCCAUUAGGCAGUUGGCGGGGUAACGGCCCACCAAACCAACGAUGGAUAGGGGUUCUGAGAGGAAGGUCCCCCACAUUGGAACUGAGACACGGUCCAAACUCCUACGGGAGGCAGCAGUGAGGAAUAUUGGUCAAUGGACGAGAGUCUGAACCAGCCAAGUAGCGUGAAGGAUGACUGCCCUAUGGGUUGUAAACUUCUUUUAUACGGGAAUAAAGUUAGCCACGUGUGGCUUUUUGUAUGUACCGUAUGAAUAAGGAUCGGCUAACUCCGUGCCAGCAGCCGCGGUAAUACGGAGGAUCCGAGCGUUAUCCGGAUUUAUUGGGUUUAAAGGGAGCGUAGGCGGGUUGUUAAGUCAGUUGUGAAAGUUUGCGGCUCAACCGUAAAAUUGCAGUUGAUACUGGCGACCUUGAGUGCAACAGAGGUAGGCGGAAUUCGUGGUGUAGCGGUGAAAUGCUUAGAUAUCACGAAGAACUCCGAUUGCGAAGGCAGCUUACUGGAUUGUAACUGACGCUGAUGCUCGAAAGUGUGGGUAUCAAACAGGAUUAGAUACCCUGGUAGUCCACACAGUAAACGAUGAAUACUCGCUGUUGGCGAUAUACGGUCAGCGGCCAAGCGAAAGCAUUAAGUAUUCCACCUGGGGAGUACGCCGGCAACGGUGAAACUCAAAGGAAUUGACGGGGGCCCGCACAAGCGGAGGAACAUGUGGUUUAAUUCGAUGAUACGCGAGGAACCUUACCCGGGCUUAAAUUGCAACUGACGGAACCGGAAACGGUUCUUUCUUCGGACAGUUGUGAAGGUGCUGCAUGGUUGUCGUCAGCUCGUGCCGUGAGGUGUCGGCUUAAGUGCCAUAACGAGCGCAACCCUUACGGGUAGUUACCAUCAGGUUAUGCUGGGGACUCUACCCGGACUGCCGUCGUAAGAUGUGAGGAAGGUGGGGAUGACGUCAAAUCAGCACGGCCCUUACGUCCGGGGCUACACACGUGUUACAAUGGGGGGUACAGAAGGCAGCUACACGGCGACGUGGUGCUAAUCCCGAAAGCCUCUCUCAGUUCGGAUUGGAGUCUGCAACCCGACUCCAUGAAGCUGGAUUCGCUAGUAAUCGCGCAUCAGCCACGGCGCGGUGAAUACGUUCCCGGGCCUUGUACACACCGCCCGUCAAGCCAUGAAAGCCGGGGGUACCUGAAGUACGUAACCGCGAGGAGCGUCCUAGGGUAAAACU
rnacentral:rRNA from 1 species